rnacentral:lncRNA from 1 species
UGUAUGAAGAGAAUUUUCUGAAUUGGGAAUUUUUAAAAUGGACUUUUUCAUAGAGUUGCUAGCUCUCUUGUAUAUAUAAGAACUCAUAUUCUACUGAAUUUUUAAGCGAUAACUCAUUUUUUAUUCAUACAGGGAGUUCAUAACUCCUACAGUUCAAAAAAUAACAACAUACUGCCUUUUAUGUGCUAUAUAUUUUAGAGAAAUUUAAUUUUUUAGUGAUCUUUGUACAACUAACAUAACACUAAUAGCAUAAUUUCAUCAAUACUGAGUGGUAAGAUUACAAACUCUACUUUCAGUUUGUGUUUUAUAAUUUGUACUUUUCAUCAUUUGCUCUUUGGGGAAGGGGUUCUGUAAUGUUGAAAUUAUUCAUUUUUUCUUCUUAAUAACACUAGCAUAUAAUAUAGGCGAACCCAAAACCCUACCUUUUAAAAAAAAGUAAAAUGUUAAGCAUUUAUCAGAAAAAGUGUAAAGAAAGUUGUACGUAGAUUAUUGUCAUUAAAAAUAACAAGCAUAUAAUUAAUUACUUUGUAAACAUGAAUUCAGUACAUCUGCUACUGAUAACAUUGAUUGUUUUAGUACACUAAUACUUCACAACACAAAAGCAGAAUUAGAGGAAUAAACAGGCCUGUUAGAUCUCAAGUUGUUUUCAGUGUCCAAGCAUGAGUAAUGAAGCUGAUAGAACUGCAGAAGGAAAGUUAGUAGUGUAUACUAUGAGAACUAUUCUAAGUUUACAGCAGCAUAGAGAUGCAAAUAAAUUUUGCAAAAGAUAUAAUUAUGUCUGAGAUGCUAAAGAAAUGCACCGGUAGGAAAAGUUAAAGGACAACAUUAAAAAUGUAUGUUAAUUCUAUUACUAGAAAGCCAAUGAAAGGUAAUUGGUUGGUAGCUCAAAGCUAACACUAUCCAUAUAGUUCAAUGGGAUUCAUCUUUGCUGUAAAGAAACAUGCAGAUAUUUGCACCUGUUCUUUUGGCAGGCACAGAAAGGAGUGGAAUGCAAGGGGGUACAAAUUCUAAUUUCAAUUAUUUUAUAAGUAAUUAGGUAAAAUUUUUGCAUCUGGAAGGUCAAAUAUAUUGUUGAAAAGGCAUUUGAGGGUUGUAAGAAAUGGCGUGCAAUUGAAAGAAUUGAAACAGGGUAGACAGUGUCAUGUCAAGAACGUGAAAAUAUUUUAAAAACAUUCAUGAUUUUUGCAGGCAACCAGAUCAAAGUGUAAAACGUGCCACCAUGGACUGUCGAAACCAUUAUUUUGUAAUGAUUGUCUAAAGAAAUACACAAGUUAUGUCAGCUGUGAUUGUAAGGGAAUUUGCUCCAGCUACAAGAGUUCAACUAUCCAGAUAUACUAAGAUGAAGGAACUACACAUUUAGAAUCUGUAUCAAGGCAACACACAAGGAAAACAUUUUCUUAUUUCCUAAGCAGCUUAAAGGCAAUGGGAUUCAACACAAAUACAGUUGCUUUUGAUAUUGGUUUGUGGGUUGUAGAUUGGUAAUGGUUGGAUUAUGUGUAAUUAAAAAAAGUAUCACUUUUGUAAUAUUUUUUAUCUAUUCAGAAAUGAGAAAAUAAAUGACCUUUUUAAUUCUU